rnacentral:rRNA from 1 species
UACGGAGGGGGCUAGCGUUGUUCGGAAUUACUGGGCGUAAAGCGCACGUAGGCGGAUCAGUUAGUCGGGGGUGAAAUCCCGGGGCUCAACCCCGGAACCGCCUUCGAUACUGCUGGUCUGGAGUCCGAGAGAGGUGAGUGGAAUUCCGAGUGUAGAGGUGAAAUUCGUAGAUAUUCGGAGGAACACCAGUGGCGAAGGCGGCUCACUGGCUCGGUACUGACGCUGAGGUGCGAAAGCGUGGGGAGCAAACAGG